UACGUAGGGUGCAAGCGUUAAUCGGAAUUACUGGGCGUAAAGCGUGCGCAGGCGGUUAUGCAAGACAGAUGUGAAAUCCCCGGGCUUAACCUGGGAACCGCAUUUGUGACUGCAUAGCUGGAGUACGGCAGAGGGGAUGGAAUUCCGCGUGUAGCAGUGAAAUGCGUAGAUAUGCGGAGGAACACCGAUGGCGAAGGCAGUCCCCUGGGCCUGUACUGACGCUCAUGCACGAAAGCGUGGGGAGCAACAGG
rnacentral:rRNA from 1 species